CAGCUACACAUCAACUAUAUAAUUCCAACAACAAUAAAGGAUACCACAAAGAGUAUAUGUAUAAAGAAUGUCUGUCACAACAAACCCAAAGUUAAACCCAUAAAUCCAGCCCAUCAGGCCUCUAUGAAACCAUCUUUAAACAUCAACUGCUGCUCGCUCUCUUUCCGCCCUUUAACAGAGGAUUUUCUGGCAUCAAAUAUCCAGAAUGACGAGAGGUGCAGUGACAGGAUAAAAAUGAAACCAGAGAAAAGAAAGGCGCUCUUUAUUCCUCUAAAGCCCUCAGACUCAAUGAUAUCUGGCCUGACCUCUCUGACCCGUGGCUUAAGGGGACAAGAAGAGGGAGAGUGGACAGUGUUGAGCAGAUAGAGAGGGCAGUGUGCAACUGUGGGACCCAGAGAGAGAAGAAGAAAAAGGGGAAAGAAGGAGCAUGUGUGUGCCCCUGAGGUUUAAGUCCUUUGACUGUGACUCCUUUAAAUCAAAGUCCAUGCACAGCUGUGAUCUCUGAGAGAUUCUCGCUACCUAAAAAACAUCUGCUCCAUCUUUGCUCUCCAUAUUCCCU